rnacentral:rRNA from 1 species
AUUGAACGCUGGCGGCAGGCUUAACACAUGCAAGUCGAGCGAGCGGCGGACGGGUGAGUAAUGUCUGGGAAACUGCCUGAUGGAGGGGGAUAACUACGGGAAACGGUAGCUAAUACCGCAUACCCUCAGAUGUGCCCCGGUGGGAUUUGCUAGUAGGUGGGGUAAUGGCUCACCUAGGCGAAGAUCCCUAGCUGCUCUGAGAGGAUGACCAGCCACUCUGGAACGUAGACACGUUCCAGACUCCUACGGGAGGCAGCAGUGGGGAAUCUUGCACAAUGGGCGCAAGCCUGAUGCAGCCAUGCCGCGUGUGUGAAGAAGGCCUUCGGGUUGUAAAGCACUGUCAUCGAGGAGGCGGUACUCGCCGAAGAAGCAACGGCUAACUCCGUGCCAGCAGCCGCGGUAAUUC